GACGAACGCUGGCGGCGUGCUUAACACAUGCAAGUCGAACGGAAAGGCCCUGCUUUUGUGGGGUGCUCGAGUGGCGAACGGGUGAGUAACACGUGAGUAACCUGCCCUUGACUUUGGGAUAACUUCAGGGAACUGGGGCUAAUACCGGAUAGGAGCUCCUGCUGCAUGGUGGGGGUUGGAAAGUUUCGGCGGUUGGGGAUGGACUCGCGGCUUAUCAGCUUGUUGGUGGGGUAGUGGCUUACCAAGGCUUUGACGGGUAGCCGGCCUGAGAGGGUGACCGGCCACAUUGGGACUGAGAUACGGCCCAGACUCCUACGGGAGGCAGCAGUGGGGAAUAUUGCACAAUGGGCGGAAGCCUGAUGCAGCAACGCCGCGUGCGGGAUGACGGCCUUCGGGUUGUAAACCGCUUUCGCCUGUGACGAAGCGUGAGUGACGGUAAUGGGUAAAGAAGCACCGGCUAACUACGUGCCAGCAGCCGCGGUGAUACGUAGGGUGCGAGCGUUGUCCGGAUUUAUUGGGCGUAAAGGGCUCGUAGGUGGUUGAUCGCGUCGGAAGUGUAAUCUUGGGGCUUAACCCUGAGCGUGCUUUCGAUACGGGUUGACUUGAGGAAGGUAGGGGAGAAUGGAAUUCCUGGUGGAGCGGUGGAAUGCGCAGAUAUCAGGAGGAACACCAGUGGCGAAGGCGGUUCUCUGGGCCUUUCCUGACGCUGAGGAGCGAAAGCGUGGGGAGCGAACAGGCUUAGAUACCCUGGUAGUCCACGCUGUAAACGGUGGGUACUAGGUGUGGGGUCCAUUCCACGGGUUCCGUGCCGUAGCUAACGCUUUAAGUACCCCGCCUGGGGAGUACGGCCGCAAGGCUAAAACUCAAAGGAAUUGACGGGGCCCCGCACAAGCGGCGGAGCAUGCGGAUUAAUUCGAUGCAACGCGUAGAACCUUACCUGGGUUUGACAUGGAUCGGGAGUGCUCAGAGAUGGGUGUGCCUCUUUUGGGGUCGGUUCACAGGUGGUGCAUGGCUGUCGUCAGCUCGUGUCGUGAGAUGUUGGGUUAAGUCCCGCAACGAGCGCAACCCUUGUUCACUGUUGCCAGCACGUUAUGGUGGGGACUCAGUGGAGACCGCCGGGGUCAACUCGGAGGAAGGUGGGGAUGACGUCAAGUCAUCAUGCCCCUUAUGUCCAGGGCUUCACGCAUGCUACAAUGGCUGGUACAGAGAGUGGCGAGCCUGUGAGGGUGAGCGAAUCUCGGAAAGCCGGUCUCAGUUCGGAUUGGGGUCUGCAACUCGACCUCAUGAAGUCGGAGUCGCUAGUAAUCGCAGAUCAGCAACGCUGCGGUGAAUACGUUCCCGGG
rnacentral:rRNA from 1 species